CACCCGGCGAGCGGGGUCGAGCCCGGCCGGCCUCAGCCAUCGCGGUCGGUCAGCGGCAGUCACAGCCCGGGAAUGAGCGCGGUGUUUGCAUUGACCCCCGCGCCCGGAGCCAGCAGCCGGAAGUGCUGGGUGUGAGGGCAGUUGCAUCUGUUCACCGUGUUCGAGUUAGGAACUGCUGGAAGGUUGUCUUUGAAUUGAUACAGGCUACUGCCUCACAGUCUCUGCUUUUUCUUACCAAGGAGAUAAUGCUGCCUGCUUCUUGUUUACAAUGUCUGACAUGAUCAUCAAAGGGGC